GAUGAACGCUGGCGGCGUGCCUAAUACAUGCAAGUCGAGCGAACAGACGAGGAGCUUGCUCCUCUGACGUUAGCGGCGGACGGGUGAGUAACACGUGGAUAACCUACCUAUAAGACUGGGAUAACUUCGGGAAACCGGAGCUAAUACCGGAUAAUAUAUUGAACCGCAUGGUUCAAGAGUGAAAGACGGUUUUGCUGUCACUUAUAGAUGGAUCCGCGCCGCAUUAGCUAGUUGGUAGGGUAACGGCUUACCAAGGCGACGAUGCGUAGCCGACCUGAGAGGGUGAUCGGCCACACUGGAACUGAGACAGGGUCCAGACUCCUACGGGAGGCAGCAGUAGGGAAUCUUCCGCAAUGGGCGAAAGCCUGACGGAGCAACGCCGCGUGAGUGAUGAAGGUCUUCGGAUCGUAAAACUCUGUUAUUAGGGAAGAACAAAUGUGUAAGUAACUAUGCACGUCUUGACGGUACCUAAUCAGAAAGCCACGGCUAACUACGUG
rnacentral:rRNA from 1 species